rnacentral:rRNA from 1 species
CGUAGGUGGCGAGCGUUGUCCGGAAUUACUGGGUGUAAAGGGCGCGUAGGCGGGGAUGUAAGUCAGAUGUGAAAUACCAUGGCUCAACCGUGGGCUGCAUCUGAAACUAUGUUUCUUGAGUGCUGGAGAGGAAGCGGAAUUCCUAGUGUAGCGGUGAAAUGCGUAGAUAUUAGGAGGAACACCAGUGGCGAAGGCGGCUUUCUGGACAGUAACUGACGGCUGAAGGCGCGAAAGCGUGGGGAGCGAACAGGAUU